CCACUUCAGCAGCACAUAUACUAACAUUGGAAUGAUACAGAGAAGAUUAGCAUGGCCCUUGCACAAGGAUGACAGUCUGUGUCUUUU
ensembl:snRNA U6 U6 spliceosomal RNA